CUGAGUGGGUGAUGAAUACCCUACCUAUACAUACAUUACACCAUUUGUUUAGCAAUUCAUCCUCAGCACAGUUAUCCAAUACCAUCUGGGAACCUCAUUAGGCCUAGUAAGAUCACAUUAGCUUAGCACCAAAAGAAGGGUCUUUGGGGAGGGGGGCCACUACUUAGAAAGUUAGUGUUGAUCUUUAAUUUGAGCUCAAAAAUUCACCAUAGAAGACUUGCUAUAAUAUGAAGUUAAUAACCAGUAUACUUACGGCUGAGCCAAAAACAUAAGAACCA
rnacentral:misc_RNA from 1 species